rnacentral:rRNA from 1 species
GUGGGGAAUCUUGCGCAAUGGGCGAAAGCCUGACGCAGCCAUGCCGCGUGAAUGAUGAAGGUCUUAGGAUUGUAAAAUUCUUUCACCGGGGACGAUAAUGACGGUACCCGGAGAAGAAGCCCCGGCUAACUUCGUGCCAGCAGCCGCGGUAAUACGAAGGGGGCUAGCGUUGCUCGGAAUUACUGGGCGUAAAGGGCGCGUAGGCGGACAGUUUAGUCAGAGGUGAAAGCCCAGGGCUCAACCUUGGAAUUGCCUUUGAUACUGGCUGUCUUGGGUACGGGGGAGGUGGGUGGAACUCCGAGUGUAGAGGUGAAAUUCGUAGAUAUUCGGAAGAACACCAGUGGCGAAGGCGACUCACUGGCCCGUUACUGACGCUGAGGCGCGAAAGCGUGGGGAGCAAACAGGAUUAGAAACCCUGGUAGUCC